rnacentral:tRNA from 1 species
GACGCUGGAGCCAGACGGCACGGCCACCGGCUGCAACCCGGUUCAAGUGGGUUCGACUCCCACCGGCGUCU